rnacentral:rRNA from 1 species
UACGUAGGGUGCAAGCGUUAAUCGGAAUUACUGGGCGUAAAGCGUGCGCAGGCGGUUUUGUAAGUCUGUUAUGAAAUCCCCGGGCUCAACCUGGGAAUGGCAAUGGAGACUGCAAGGCUAGAGUUUGGCAGAGGGGGGUAGAAUUCCACGUGUAGCAGUGAAAUGCGUAGAUAUGUGGAGGAACACCGAUGGCGAAGGCAGCCCCCUGGGUCAAAACUGACGCUCAUGCACGAAAGCGUGGGGAGCAAACAGG